ensembl:lncRNA
UAAAAGAACCGAGUUCUUGUGAUUCAACUAAUUCAUUAACGAAUCGGGCAUCGAUAAUAUUAUUCCAAAAAGCUGAAAGAGCAUAUGGGAAAUGCCACCUGAUUGCUGAAAUAUUGUCAAAUAAAAUGUAACGUUGUAGCAAGUGUCCACGCAUCCUGCAGCUUCGCCAACACUUAGUGGAAAGUGUCGUUGGAUAGCUUUACUGUUUGUUGUAAAAUUUCAUUUCUAAAUUUUAGUCUUGCUUUUUUUUUUUUUUAGGUGUGGUUUAACAAUUCCAGUCACGAUGAAGAUGAGGAACUUUUAUCAUCUGACGACUCUGAUGGACUCACAACUCAUACUGAUUCAACAACCAGUUCUCUCACUGACUCCAGUGCUACUGUAACAAACAGCAUCAACAAUCUGCAGGCUGGUGAGGAUCAGGUGAGGUGAAGAUUUAGUCAUAAAGUAUCUAGAAUUAUUAUGCAUUCAACAUUUUUCAUGCAAUACUUUAUGUAACAAGAAAAAUCAUUUUUUCAUUAGUCAAUUUAUCCUCAGGAAUCUUUUGACUCUUUUGAGUUUGAAUCAGACUCUACGUCAUCUGAGCAAAACUCUCCUGUCCCAGACAGAUUACCCAUCUGUAGUCCACAGGACGGUGUGUUCGACUCUUUUUUCCCCUGUGUGUAUCUGCAUUAGUGUAUUCAAGACAGAUUGAGAUGUGUACAAAAUAAAGCAUGCUAGUUUUGCAAGGAUGUUUUGUUUUUUUAUGAUUCUAGAGCUGUUCCCCUGCAGUGAUGAAGAAUCAUCCGCAGAGAUCAGACGGUAUUUGAUCUCUCACACCCAUGCAUACCGACAUUUGUGCAUAAAAUUUGUUCUUAUAUAUCUAUUUUAGAUUCUUGACUGUUUCACUAUUUAUUUCCAAAUUCCUAGUAUGUGUUGUAAUGAGUCAGAGGAAGAAGAGAAAGAGAAGUUCAUCCCUACAUCCAAAAGUGAGACAGAGAAAUAUAAAGUGAGACGAACACUAAGCUUUCUCAGAAGCCGGAUGGUGAACACCAAAAUAAAAAACAAGGUAAAUGCAGAGGUUUCCUCAGCUUUGCAUCAGCUCUGCUCACCACAGCCGCGUGUUGAAGCAGCUUGUAAUGUCUGUGAGGGAGCUGACGGUGAUGAACCACAGCCGUGCACAUGUAAGUGUGUGUUUCUUGUACAGAAAUAUAUUUUUACAUACAUAAAAAUGUGAAAUAAAUGUAAAUAUACUGGCUUUAUGAUGUCGUUU